UACGAAGGGGGCUAGCGUUGCUCGGAAUGACUGGGCGUAAAGGGCGCGUAGGCGGUUUGUACAGUCAGGUGUGAAAUUCCCGGGCUCAACCUGGGGGCUGCACUUGAUACGUAUGGACUGGAGUGGGGAAGAGGGUCGUGGAAUUCCCAGUGUAGAGGUGAAAUUCGUAGAUAUUGGGAAGAACACCGGUGGCGAAGGCGGCGACCUGGUCCUUGACUGACGCUGAGGUGCGAAAGCGUGGGGAGCAAACAGG
rnacentral:rRNA from 1 species